rnacentral:rRNA from 1 species
AUUGAACGCUGGCGGCAGGCUUAACACAUGCAAGUCGAGCGGGGUGAUGGUGCUUGCACUAUCACUUAGCGGCGGACGGGUGAGUAAUGCUUAGGAAUCUGCCUAUUAGUGGGGGACAACAUUUCGAAAGGAAUGCUAAUACCGCAUACGUCCUACGGGAGAAAGCAGGGGAUCUUCGGACCUUGCGCUAAUAGAUGAGCCUAAGUCGGAUUAGCUAGUUGGUGGGGUAAAGGCCUACCAAGGCGACGAUCUGUAGCGGGUCUGAGAGGAUGAUCCGCCACACUGGGACUGAGACACGGCCCAGACUCCUACGGGAGGCAGCAGUGGGGAAUAUUGGACAAUGGGCGGAAGCCUGAUCCAGCCAUGCCGCGUGUGUGAAGAAGGCCUUAUGGUUGUAAAGCACUUUAAGCGAGGAGGAGGCUACUUUAGUUAAUACCUAGAGAUAGUGGACGUUACUCGCAGAAUAAGCACCGGCUAACUCUGUGCCAGCCGCCGCCGUAACAC